GACGAACGCUGGCGGCGUGCUUAACACAUGCAAGUCGAACGGAAAGGCCCUGCUUGCAGGGUACUCGAGUGGCGAACGGGUGAGUAACACGUGGGUGAUCUGCCCUGCACUUCGGGAUAAGCCUGGGAAACUGGGUCUAAUACCGGAUAGGAGCCAUUUUUAGUGUGAUGGUUGGAAAGUUUUUUCGGUGUAGGAUGAGCUCGCGGCCUAUCAGCUUGUUGGUGGGGUAAUGGCCUACCAAGGCGGCGACGGGUAGCCGGCCUGAGAGGGUGGACGGCCACAUUGGGGCUGAGGUACGGCCCAGACUCCUACGGGGGGCAGCAGUGGGGAAUAUUGCACAAUGGGCGCAAGCCUGAUGCAGCGACGCCGCGUGGGGGAUGACGGCCUUCGGGUUGUAAACUCCUUUCGCUAGGGACGAAGCUUUUUGUGACGGUACCUAGAUAAGAAGCACCGGCUAACUACGUG
rnacentral:rRNA from 1 species